rnacentral:lncRNA from 1 species
GGCUGAUUGAAAUGCUGGUAUAGAAUGUCGUUAGCAUUGAGGUUAAUGUCUGAUCUAUGACCGCACAUACGUUUGUUUAGCCUUCCCUUCGUUUCACCGACGUAUACCAAUCCGCAAAGGUUGCACUCUAAUCCGUAGACAACAUUUAUCGAUUUACAAUUCAGAUCAUCGUAAAUUCUGGUAAAAUAUGACUUCUUGGUCAAAUUGCUAGUGAAUUC